rnacentral:rRNA from 1 species
CUAACGUCCGUCGUGAAGAGGGAAACAACCCAGACCGCCAGCUAAGGUCCCAAAGUCAUGGUUAAGUGGGAAACGAUGUGGGAAGGCCCAGACAGCCAGGAUGUUGGCUUAGAAGCAGCCAUCAUUUAAAGAAAGCGUAAUAGCUCACUGGUCGAGUCGGCCUGCGCGGAAGAUGUAACGGGGCUAAACCAUGCACCGAAGCUGCGGCAGCGACGCUUAUGCGUUGUUGGGUAGGGGAGCGUUCUGUAAGCCUGUGAAGGUGUGCUGUGAGGUAUGCUGGAGGUAUCAGAAGUGCGAAUGCUGACAUAAGUAACGAUAAAGCGGGUGAAAAGCCCGCUCGCCGGAAGACCAAGGGUUCCUGUCCAACGUUAAUCGGGGCAGGGUGAGUCGACCCCUAAGGCGAGGCCGAAAGGCGUAGUCGAUGGGAAACAGGUUAAUAUUCCUGUACUUGGUGUUACUGCGAAGGGGGGACGGAGAAGGCUAUGUUGGCCGGGCGACGGUUGUCCCGGUUUAAGCGUGUAGGCUGGUUUUCCAGGCAAAUCCGGAAAAUCAAGGCCGAGGCGUGAUGACGAGGCACUACGGUGCUGAAGCAACAAAUGCCCUGCUUCCAGGAAAAGCCUCUAAGCAUCAGGUAACAUCAAAUCGUACCCCAAACCGACACAGGUGGUCAGGUAGAGAAUACCAAGGCGCUUGAGAGAACUCGGGUGAAGGAACUAGGCAAAAUGGUGCCGUAACUUCGGGAGAAGGCACGCUGAUACGUAGGUGAAGCGACUUGCUCGUGGAGCUGAAAUCAGUCGAAGAUACCAGCUGGCUGCAACUGUUUAUUAAAAACACAGCACUGUGCAAACACGAAAGUGGACGUAUACGGUGUGACGCCUGCCCGGUGCCGGAAGGUUAAUUGAUGGGGUUAGCGCAAGCGAAGCUCUUGAUCGAAGCCCCGGUAAACGGCGGCCGUAACUAUAACGGUCCUAAGGUAGCGAAAUUCCUUGUCGGGUAAGUUCCGACCUGCACGAAUGGCGUAAUGAUGGCCAGGCUGUCUCCACCCGAGACUCAGUGAAAUUGAACUCGCUGUGAAGAUGCAGUGUACCCGCGGCAAGACGGAAAGACCCCGUGAACCUUUACUAUAGCUUGACACUGAACAUUGAGCCUUGAUGUGUAGGAUAGGUGGGAGGCUUUGAAGUGUGGACGCCAGUCUGCAUGGAGCCGACCUUGAAAUACCACCCUUUAAUGUUUGAUGUUCUAACGUGGACCCGUGAUCCGGGUUGCGGACAGUGUCUGGUGGGUAGUUUGACUGGGGCGGUCUCCUCCUAAAGAGUAACGGAGGAGCACGAAGGUUGGCUAAUCCUGGUCGGACAUCAGGAGGUUAGUGCAAUGGCAUAAGCCAGCUUGACUGCGAGCGUGACGGCGCGAGCAGGUGCGAAAGCAGGUCAUAGUGAUCCGGUGGUUCUGAAUGGAAGGGCCAUCGCUCAACGGAUAAAAGGUACUCCGGGGAUAACAGGCUGAUACCGCCCAAGAGUUCAUAUCGACGGCGGUGUUUGGCACCUCGAUGUCGGCUCAUCACAUCCUGGGGCUGAAGUAGGUCCCAAGGGUAUGGCUGUUCGCCAUUUAAAGUGGUACGCGAGCUGGGUUUAGAACGUCGUGAGACAGUUCGGUCCCUAUCUGCCGUGGGCGCUGGAGAACUGAGGGGGGCUGCUCCUAGUACGAGAGGACCGGAGUGGACGCAUCACUGGUGUUCGGGUUGUCAUGCCAAUGGCACUGCCCGGUAGCUAAAUGCGGAAGAGAUAAGUGCUGAAAGCAUCUAAGCACGAAACUUGCCC